UUAUUCAAACGAGAACUUUGAAGACUGAAGUGGAGAAGGGUUCCGCGUGAACAGCACUUGUGCGCGGGUGAGUCGAUCCUAAGAACCAGGGUAGAUCCGUUAUCACCCGUAUUCGAAAGGGAAACAGGUUAAUAUUCCUGUACCUCGGGUAGACUCGAAGGCGGUGACGCAAGUGAGCUCGCAGACGCUUGCACUCGUCGCGGGGAGAGCCCUCGUCUCUCUUUUAUAUUCAACAUACCCCGGAGGAAGGUGAACUUGAGAAAGGGUUACGUGAGUAGUACAGCCCGGCUCGGCUUGCCGGGUCCGACGUGCGAGGAGUAAGCCCAUGAAAAUGCGAGGGAGCGACAGGAGUCCUCUCCCGAGAUCGUACCCAUAACCGCAUCAGGUCUCCAAGGUGAGUAGCCUCUAGUCGAUAGAUCAAAGUAGGUAAGGGAAUUCGGCAAAUUAGAUCCGUAACUUCGGGAUAAGGAUUGGCUCUGAUUGUUGCGUGCACGGCUACCGCUGCGGACGUGCGUAGUUAUGUACUUCAAAGCUGUGCAAAUACCGAGCGAUAUCUACACAAGGAGUGGGGGUAACCAUCGGGGUUAGCGGCAGUGUUUCUAUCUAACCAUCCCCCCGUCGGUAUUCGGAUCGGCCCCCGGAUGUAACGCGUCCCGCGCACGGGCGCGAGGGCGAUGCCACGGAUGGGCGUGGCAGAUGGCUGAACCCAUCCUGUUGCUACGCGUGUAUGACACAACCGGGCGCGGCCCCUCCUAUACCAUGGUACCUCCGCGGGUGUCUCGGAACACGCAUCUGCUCUGGAAACUGGGAUCCGUGCAUGCGACUAUAUUAGAACUGGCGCGGACAACGGGAGUCCGACUGUUUACUAAAAACGUAGCAUCGUGAUGGUCCCUGCGGAUGUUGACACGAUGUGAAUCCUGCCCAGUGCUCUGUCCGUCAAUCCAGAGAAAUCCAGGCAAGCAUGGGUAAACGGCGGGAGUAACUAUGACUCUCUUAAGGUAGCCAAAUGCCUCGUCAUCUAAUUAGUGACGCGCAUGAAUGGAUUAACGAGAUUCCCACUGUCCCUAUCUACUAUCUAGCGAAGCCACAGCCAAGGGAACGGGCUUGGAAGAAACAGCGGGGAAAGAAGACCCUGUUGAGCUUGACUCUAUCCUGGCGCUGAGCGGCGUCUUAGGAGGUGUAGCAUAGGUGGGAGCGUAACGCGAUACUGAAAUACCACUACUCUCAAGAUCGUCUCUCUAACCCCGCUACCGCAGGCACGAGAAGGGUGUCGCGCGUCACCCCCGUGACAACCGUAACCCGGAUCACUGCAACCAUCCCUGGCGGGUAUAGCCUGGGGUGGUAUGUCUGCACACGGGGGACACCGCUAGCUGGGGAGUUCGGCUGGGGCGGUACAUCCGUUAAAAGACAACGCGGAUGUCCUACGAUCAGCUCACCAAGGACAGAAACCUCGGGUGGGGUAUAAGGAUAGAAGCUGAUUUGAUGCGGGCCCCCAGUAAGGGUCCACACUGCGGAAGCAAGGCCUACCGAUCCUUUAGUUCUUCUGGUCGUGAAGCUAGAGGUGACAGAAAAGUUACCACAGGGAUAACUGGUUCGUGGCAGCCAAGCGUUCAUAGCGACGUUGCUUUUUGAUUCUUCGAUGUCGGCUCUUCCUAUCAUUGUGAAGCAGGAUUCACAAAGCGUUGGAUUGUUCACCCACAAAUAGGGAACGUGAGCUGGGUUUAGACCGUCGUGAGACAGGUUAGUUUUACCCUACUGUUGCUCGAUCAUGUGAUAGUAGUCGAGCUGAGUACGAGAGGAACGGUUCGAUCGGAUACUUGGUACUGCGCUCGAUGGAGCCGUCGAUGGCGCGAAGCUACAUCCGCGGGUUAAUGACUGAGCGCCUCUAAAGUCAGAAACCUUGCUAGAAACAUGGUCGCGACCGGGCCGCACAGCACGCUACGCUACCCCCACCUCACGGCGCGAUCACCGUGAGCCGUGUCUAGCAUCACGCCCGCGCUGACACGCGCGGGCUCGCAAGUGCAUCCCCGGUUAACGGGGAGGGGGGUCGGUCGGGGGAUCCAUUGUAGACGACUCUGCUAAUGAUAACCGGGUACUGCAAGCGGGAGAGUGUGUCACACGAUUCGUUGAGGUUUAACCCGGGUUACCUAGAU
rnacentral:rRNA from 1 species